GUCUUUUAAUUGAAGGCUUGUAUGAAUGGUUGGAUGAAAAAUAUACUUUCUUUAUUUUAUAUAAAAAAUUUAAUUUUCUAGUCAAAAAGCUAGGAUUUUUUUAUAGGACGAGAAGACCCUAUAGAACUUUAUUUUCUUUUUUUAUAAAUUUUAUAGAUAAAUAUAAGUUUAUAUAUUUUUGUUAAUUUUGUUGGGGUGAUUGAAAAAAUUUUUUAACUUUUUCUAUUUUUUACAUUUAUAUAUGUUUUUUUGAUCCUUUAUUAAGGAAUAUAAGAUUAAGUUACCUUAGGGAUAACAGCGUUAUUUUUUUGGAGAGUUCUUAUCGAUAAAAAAGUUUGCGACCUCGAUGUUGGAUUAAAUUAAGUAAUAGGAGUAGAAUAUUAUUUACUAGGUCUGUUCGACCUUUAAAUUUUUACA
rnacentral:rRNA from 1 species